UCAUCGUCUUGUUGGCUGCGAACAAUAAGGGGUGGAUUUAAAUGAGGCCUAUGCUAUUGUGUCGUGCAUGCCUAAGAGAUGAUCACACCAUUGAGGUGAUCCCAAAUCAUGCGCUGAUCCAUGGAUGGCGCUUUGAAU
rnacentral:rRNA from 1 species